GAUUUAUACAGAAGCGUGGAGAGAUAGGCUCUAUGAAGCGCUAGCAACCAUCCGCAGAGGAAAGGUGCUAAUUCCUAAUCCCUAAAGAAAGCCGAGUGGUUUUCGGGAGAAUAUAAAUU
rnacentral:ncRNA from 1 species